rnacentral:rRNA from 1 species
AACGAACGCUGGCGGCAUGCCUAACACAUGCAAGUCGAACGAGACCUUCGGGUCUAGUGGCGCACGGGUGCGUAACGCGUGGGAACCUGCCCUUAGGUUCGGAAUAACUCCCCGAAAGGGGUGCUAAUACCGGAUAAUGUCUUCGGACCAAAGAUUUAUCGCCUUUGGAUGGGCCCGCGUUGGAUUAGCUAGUUGGUAGGUAAAAGCCUACCAAGGCGACGAUCCAUAGCUGGUCUGAGAGGAUGAUCAGCCACACUGGGACUGAGACACGGCCCAGACUCCUACGGGAGGCAGCAGUGGGGAAUAUUGGACAAUGGGCGAAAGCCUGAUCCAGCAAUGCCGCGUGAGUGAUGAAGGCCUUAGGGUUGUAAAGCUCUUUUACCCGGGAUGAUAAUGACAGUACCGGGAGAAUAAGCUCCGGCUAACUCCGUG